rnacentral:lncRNA from 1 species
GCAGAGUUCAAGGAGAAGGUAAAAGUAACAAGUAUAAGUUUCUCACUGGCUUAAGGUGGCUUCGAGCUUCGUCACCAGCCAUUUUUCGCCCGCCGUUUAUCCAAAUUUGAGUCAUAAACCUGUUUCCUAUACUUCGAGCUAGGCUGGGGAUGUCAAUCAAAUCUGCUGGUGACAAACUAAAGUUUGGCCUAUUAACAAUUUUUCCGUGCGUGCAGCCAGUCUUCAGGAAAGCAGUAGCUGUGCCUCGAGAAGCUAACAGGGCGCAGAAAUCGGCAUGCCCAGCGAUAACUUCGUCAAGCGCAUCAACUUCGCCCUCAAUAUAUUCAAAGGUGUUUGGCAGGUCUUCAACUGAAGGUGUAAACUUCUCAGAGCUGGCUCCAAUUGAGUAAAAGACAUCCUUCAGCCACUACAAGCAUCGAUUGCCGAAGUCUAAACAUUUAUCCUGAAGCUCCUUCAAUGAUUUCUGCAAAUUUGAACUCUUCUCAAUUUCGGUUUUGAGAUUCGUCUCAAGAUUCUUCUUUUCUUGCUUAGAUUUUUUUGAUUUUAUGAGUAAUUCGCUGUUUAAUCUGUCAAUUUUGGCUUGAGCUUCUGCCAGCGAACCUUCCAUAGAGUGGAUGACGAGGUCCUUUUUCUCCAAAGCAACUUCGUGAUCUUUGACUUUAU